rnacentral:rRNA from 1 species
UGAAGCGGCAAAAGCUCAAAUUUGAAAUYUAGCACCUUCGGUGUYCGAGUUGUAAUUUGAAGAUGGUAACCUUGGGUUUGGCUCUUGUCUAUGUUCCUUGGAACAGGACGUCAUAGAGGGUGAGAAUCCCGUCUGAUGAGAUGCCCAUUCCUAUGUAAGGUGCUAUYGAAGAGUCGAGUUGUUUGGGAAUGCAGCUCUAAGUGGGUGGUAAAUUCCAUCUAAAGCUAAAUAUUGGCGAGAGACCGAUAGCGAACAAGUACAGUGAUGGAAAGAUGAAAAGAACUUUGAAAAGAGAGUGAAAAAGUACGUGAAAUUGUUGAAAGGGAAGGGCAUUAGAUCAGACUUGGUGUUUUACGAUUAUCUUCUCUUCUUGAGUUGUGCACUCGUAUUUCACUGGGCCAGCAUCGAUUCGGAUGGCAAGAUAAUGGCAGUUGAAUGUGGCUUCACUUCGGUGGAGUGUUAUAGCUUCUGCUGAUAUUGCCUGUCUGGAUCGAGGGCUGCGUCUUUUGACUAGGAUGCUGG